AUCCCUGUGGCGCAGUGUAGCGCGUCGUUCUUAUACGAGAACCACUUCGGGUCUUGUAGGACAGCUAUGCGAAUGCGUGGGUUCGACCCCCACCAGGGAUA
rnacentral:tRNA from 1 species